UACCCACCCCAUAUGCUUCCCCACCACACAAAAAUCAUCUCACACCAUCAGUCUCUUGGCCAGUCAACUUAGUGGUCCUCCCCACUUUUUCUUUUUCAGUUUCUCACAAACACAACCCACUCCUCUCCCACACUCCCUCAUUCUCCCACUGGUACCCACUCCUCACCACCAUCUCCACCAUCAUUUUUCCAACAAGAUCACCAAAAAAACUCCUUAGGAACCUUUGCAUCUUCCUCUCUUUUAUUUGAGGCUCUAACUUAUCUCCUUUGGAGCUUGGAGAAUUAGGCUUUUUGCAGGUUGUAAGGUAAGUAGCUUUUUACUUGGAUUUUUGGAAAAUAACCAUGUUGCAUAAACAUUGUUUUUGAGUCAAACACAUUUUGAAAAAUUAUUUGUGGGAUUAUGUUUUCUUAAAAAGUGUUGUGUAGAUGAUUAUAUAUAAAAAGCACAUCAUGUUUAAUAUUGCAUAUGGGGAAAUUUAUGAAUUGUUGAUAUGAAAAAUAUGAGCAUCUUUGAUUUAAUAUUUGAUAAUGAAUUCAUGGAUUUUAUGGUAUAUUGGAAAAUUUAAAGGUGCUUAUCUUGUCUUGUAUUAUUUGGGAAAUUGGUAGAAAAUCUUGUUAACAAGGAAUGAAUUUGGAAACCUUACAAACUAUGUGGAGGUUUUGGUUGUUUAAGGUUUUUCUAAAACUACCUGGAUAUAAAUUAUGUAUUUGAAAGUAAAUGUAACCUAUGAGCUUUAUGUUGUUUUAAUCCUAUGUCAUGUGUGAUUUCCCGGUGAUCACCCGAUUUGAUUUCCACAGUCUUUAUGACAAUGGAAUCAGAUCUAGGUUAGUGUCCUUUCACUUUAAAUGACGUAUUCUUCUUUACUACCCAUGGGGGGAAGAAGUUUUUUGAUUAUGUGUGGGUGAGCUUACUGCUCAUGGGGCCAAAAGAUCACAUGCAAAAGAGAUCAUAUUUGACGUGUUUUCCCUGCGGCCCAUUGCCCCGGGGGGGGGGGGGGGGGGGGGGGACCCUUGAGGGUAUGGAUGAAGUUAUUGCCCAUGGGGCCCAAGAAACUACAUACCAAUGAGGACAAUAUCAUACCAAUUGUGAAUGGGUGGAUCUCCUAACCGUAAUGUGGUAGUGUGGUAUAUUUGUGAUAAUUUGCCUUAUGUUAGAUUUUAUGACUUUGGAAUUAUAUUGUUAGUGCUCACAGAUUAUAGUAUAUAGUUUCAUGGUAUUUAUUUUUAGAAGUUGUGUUUCAUUAGUUAAUCAUUCUUUGUCAUAUUAUUAUUUAAAAUGAUAUUGCAAUAUUCAUGUUAGAAAUUCCUAAACUAACAUGCUUUCUAAACUAUUCCUCCUCAUGAAAUUUGCAUUUCCCCCACCCUAUUAAUUAUGUUACUUACUAGGUUCUGUCUCAUCCCAUUCGUUUACAAACUUUUUUAGAGUAUGCAACAAUCAUUUUGAGACAGGUUUUUGUGGCUACCAAUAGUUAGACUAACUACUGAUAGAGGUUGGAAUUUUGUGAUUGUGAUAUUUAGAUGAUGUACAUCUUAAAGUAGAUUUGACUCGUUUUUUUGUAUCUAAUAGUGGUGAUGACUUUUAUCUCCACUGAUGGGAUAAGUUAAUGAUGUGUAAUUAUAUUUAUUCAGACCUCCAUUCUUUUGUGGCUAAUGGUCCUUGUAAUUAUUGCAUAGAACUCUGACUUACUUUGGGAGUAUCUUUAAUAAAAUUAUCAUGAGAAUUCUUGAUGUUGGUA